AUGGCGUCUCCAAGAGCUGGCAAGUCGUGGAGGAAGCCUAAGGCCGAUUUCAUUCUGACGAGGGCCCAAAGGAGGGAGGUUCUAGAAUGGUUCCAAACAUUAAUGUUCCCUGAUGGCUAUGCAGCGAACUUGAAGAGGGGAGUGAAUUUAGCAACUAUGCGAAUCAACGGGCUCAAGAGUCAUGAUUACCAUAUAUGGCUUGAGCGCCUACUUCCAGUGAUGGUUCGAGGCUAUGUCCCUGAGCAUGUGUGGCAGGUGCU
rnacentral:lncRNA from 1 species